GAUAAACGCUGGCGGCGUGCCUAAUACAUGCAAGUCGAGCGAACGGACGAGAAGCUUGCUUCUCUGAUGUUAGCGGCGGACGGGUGAGUAACACGUGGAUAACCUACCUAUAAGACUGGGAUAACUUCGGGAAACCGGAGCUAAUACCGGAUAAUAUUUUGAACCGCAUGGUUCAAAAGUGAAAGACGGUCUUGCUGUCACUUAUAGAUGGAUCCGCGCUGCAUUAGCUAGUUGGUAAGGUAACGGCUUACCAAGGCAACGAUGCAUAGCCGACCUGAGAGGGUGAUCGGCCACACUGGAACUGAGACACGGUCCAGACUCCUACGGGAGGCAGCAGUAGGGAAUCUUCCGCAAUGGGCGAAAGCCUGACGGAGCAACGCCGCGUGAGUGAUGAAGGUCUUCGGAUCGUAAAACUCUGUUAUUAGGGAAGAACAUAUGUGUAAGUAACUGUGCACAUCUUGACGGUACCUAAUCAGAAAGCCACGGCUAACUACGUGCCAGCAGCCGCGGUAAUACGUAGGUGGCAAGCGUUAUCCGGAAUUAUUGGGCAUAAAGCGCGCGUAGGCGGUUUUUUAAGUCUGAUGUGAAAGCCCACGGCUCAACCGUGGAGGGUCAUUGGAAACUGGAAAACUUGAGUGCAGAAGAGGAAAGUGGAAUUCCAUGUGUAGCGGUGAAAUGCGCAGAGAUAUGGAGGAACACCAGUGGCGAAGGCGACUUUCUGGUCUGUAACUGACGCUGAUGUGCGAAAGCGUGGGGAUCAAACAGGAUUAGAUACCCUGGUAGUCCACGCCGUAAACGAUGAGUGCUAAGUGUUAGGGGGUUUCCGCCCCUUAGUGCUGCAGCUAACGCAUUAAGCACUCCGCCUGGGGAGUACGACCGCAAGGUUGAAACUCAAAGGAAUUGACGGGGACCCGCACAAGCGGUGGAGCAUGUGGUUUAAUUCGAAGCAACGCGAAGAACCUUACCAAAUCUUGACAUCCUUUGACAACUCUAGAGAUAGAGCCUUCCCCUUCGGGGGACAAAGUGACAGGUGGUGCAUGGUUGUCGUCAGCUCGUGUCGUGAGAUGUUGGGUUAAGUCCCGCAACGAGCGCAACCCUUAAGCUUAGUUGCCAUCAUUAAGUUGGGCACUCUAAGUUGACUGCCGGUGACAAACCGGAGGAAGGUGGGGAUGACGUCAAAUCAUCAUGCCCCUUAUGAUUUGGGCUACACACGUGCUACAAUGGACAAUACAAAGGGCAGCGAAACCGCGAGGUCAAGCAAAUCCCAUAAAGUUGUUCUCAGUUCGGAUUGUAGUCUGCAACUCGACUACAUGAAGCUGGAAUCACUAGUAAUCGUAGAUCAGCAUGCUACGGUGAAUACGUUCCCGGGUCU
rnacentral:rRNA from 1 species